GGUACCGCCUGCCCAGUGACUCUUUAAACGGCCGCGGUAUCCUAACCGUGCAAAGGUAGCAUAAUCACUUGUCCCCUAAAUAGGGACUAGAAUGAAUGGCUAAAUGAGGACUAAACUGUCUCUUAUAGGCUGACCAAUGAAAUUGAUUUUCCAGUACAAAAGCUGGAAUAAACACAUAAGACGAGAAGACCCUGUGGAGCUUCAAAACCAAAAGCACCAAAUAUGCUUCCUUGAAUUUUUAGUUGGGGCGACUUCGGAGCACAAAAAAACCUCCGAAACAUGACAAUUAACCUAAUCAAGAUUAACACAUCAAAACAAACACAUGAGACCCAGCAGCCACCAAAUCAACGCUGUCUGACCAAUGAACCAAGUUACCCCAGGGAUAACAGCGCCAUCCCCUUCUAGAGUCCCUAUCGACAAGGGGGUUUACGACCUCGAUGUUGGAUCAGGACACCCCAAUGGUGCAGCCGCCCUUAAAGGUUCGUUUGUUCAACGAUUAAAGUCCUA
rnacentral:rRNA from 1 species